rnacentral:rRNA from 1 species
AUUGAACGCUGGCGGCAGGCCUAACACAUGCAAGUCGAACGAGUGGCGGACGGGUGAGUAAUGUCUGGGAAACUGCCUGAUGGAGGGGGAUAACUACUGGAACCGGUAGCUAAUACCGCAUACCAUCAGAUGUGCCCAGCUGGGAUUAGCUAGUUGGUGGGGUAACGGCUCACCAAGGCGACGAUCCCUAGCUGGUCUGAGAGGAUGACCAGCCACACUGGAAAUGAGAAACGGUCCAGACACCGACGGGAGGCAGCAGUAGGGAAUAUUGCACAAUAGGCGCAAGCCUGAUGAAGCCAAGCCUCGUGUAUGAAGAAGGCCGUCGGGUUGUAAAGUACUUUCAGCGGGGAGGCGUUACCCGCAGAAGAAGCACCGGCUAACUCCGUGCCAGCAGCCGCGGUAAUUC